rnacentral:rRNA from 1 species
UACGUAGGUGGCAAGCGUUGUCCGGAUUUAUUGGGUUUAAAGGGUGCGUAGGCGGCCCUGUAAGUCAGUGCUGAAAUAUCCCGGCUUAACCGGGAGGGUGGCAUUGAUACUGCAGGGCUUGAGUGAAGUCGAGGUAGGCGGAAUUGACGGUGUAGCGGUGAAAUGCUUAGAUAUCGUCAGGAACACCGAUAGUGAAGACAGCUUACUAGGCUUAUACUGACGCUGAGGCACGAAAGUGUGGGGAUCAAACAGG